rnacentral:tRNA from 1 species
UCCUCCGUGGCGCAAUUGGCUAGCGCGUCUGACUGUUACUCUCACAUACGUGAUUGAGCAAUCAGGAGGUUGACAGUUCAAGCCUGUCCGGGGGAG